UACGUAGGAGGCAAGCGUUGUCCGGAGUUACUGGGCGUAAAGCGCACGCAGGCGGUUCAGUCAGUCUGUAGGGACAGGGCACAGCUCAACUGUGUCAGGCUUACGGAAACUGCUGAACUUGAGGGCUUCAGAGGGAUGGGGAAUUCCGGGUGGAGUGGUGAAAUGCGUAGAGAUCCGGAGGAACACCAAAGGCGAAGGCAGUGUCCUGGGGAGUACCUGACGCUCAGGUGCGAAAGCCAGGGGAGCGAACGGG
rnacentral:rRNA from 1 species